AUUGCAUUAACAGAACCUAGAAUGUACAGACAUUGUUUCUUGGUAGGGUUUAUUUGUAUGUGUCUACGCGGGAACACGUGCUUGGCUUAGUGUGUUGUUAAAAGCAUUUUGUUUAAUUAUAACACAGACGGUUUGAUGACAGGAACCUUCUCCAUGGAUGGUAAUACGCAGAUAACCUCCGUCGACUUUUUACAGAAAAAUCCCCUUUGUACAUUGUACCCAAAAUAUCAGCGCGAAGUAAACAGUCUCGGCAGACAGACACCAGCCAUAAAAAGAUUUUGUACAACAGUAUGGAAAGCAAAGUCAACAAAACGUUUUCCUCUGAUUGGUUUACUAAAAUAACGAGGAUGAGCGCGUCAGAUUAACAGAAGCGGUCGUGCAUGCUGUGUUAGGAGACGACGGAGGCGUUGCUGGAGAAUCUGGAGGAAAAAAAUAAUACUGCAACUUAAUAAAAACUUGAGUGAAGCUGUUACAAAGCACGAGUUGUGCAGACGACAUUUCACAUGGGUUGGUAAACAUUUGGUUAUGCAAGUUGUAGUGAAUCGCUCGUGGUUGCUCAAACGGACAAUGUUAAACAGCAUAAUUAGAAGGUUUAAUAAAAUCGUGAAAUUUUAAAACGCCUGAAUGAUAUUGCUGACCUCUUGGGAAAGCAAGACGGUGCCUUUUGGGAGCCACUUCGCAGAGGGAGACUGAUGAGUUUUUGGAAAUGCUGAAGAAAUAUAACCAGACCUUGAUAUAUAGUUUACAACAAUCCAAGCAAUGCUCUGUUCCAAAUAAUCUGCUCCACAGGAAAUCUGUACAGGCCUGAUCAACUGCAUCAAACUUUCAGAUUUUGUUAAAAGUGAAAUCAGCAAGAAGCAGUUCUUCUCCAUUCAGGUAGACGAUGCCGCAGAUUUUUAUACUAAAGAGCACAUCGCAUUGAUUUUACGUUGUGUCGGCAGUGAAGGAAGCAUUAAAUAACCUUUUUCUGGGCUUUCAUGGUAUUUUCAACCCAGGAGUGCUGAAAGCUGUGUCAUUUAUCAGUCCAUGUCAAAAUAUUCAUGCUGUAGUUAGAAAUAGUCAGGCCUAUGAUGGUGCUUGUGCUCUGUCUGAUCAGUUAACAGGUGUUAGUGUUCAGGCAUAUUUCCCUAAUGCUGUGUUUUGUGUUUUUUUAAAUCAUGUUUUAAUACAAGGAGCAAACGUUCCUCAAGUCAGGCUUUUUUUGUGAACUAGUUUUGUCAACCUACAAUACAAAAUUGAACCAUCACAGUACAGUGUCUUAAGAGGAAAUCCUGUAAUGCUUUAAAGAGAGAGCAGUUCAGACAGUCUUUGAAAACAAUGAAGUGUUAACUGUUUUUUGCAACAAAACUCUGGCUGAGUGGCUGGACGAUCCAGAGACAGGGGUCUUAAGAGUUUCCAGAUGAUUUUGAGUUUUCUUUCUCUGCGCAUACAAAGAGAUUUGUGGACUGGUCCGUGUGCUCUGAGAGCUCUCCAAGCAGAUUAAAUGGAUUUGUGGACUGGCCUCUGUGCUCUGAGAGCUCUCCAAGCAGAUUCAAUGGAUUUGUGGACAGACCCAUGUGCUCUGAGAGCUCUCUAAGCAGAUUCAAUGGAUUUGUGGACUGGCCCGUGUGCUCUGAGAGCUCUCCAAGCAGAUUCAAUGGAUUUGUGGACUGGUCUGUGUGCUCUGACAGCUCUCCAAGCAGAUUCAAUGGAUUUGUGGACAGACCCAUGUGCUCUGAGAGCUCUCCAAGCAGAUUCAAUGGAUUUGUGGACUGGCCCGUGUGCUCUGGGAGCUCUCCAAGCAGAUUCAAUGGAUUUGUGGACUGGCCUGUGUGCUCUGAGAGCUCUCCAAGCAGAUUCAAUGGAUUUAAUUGGGGACACAACAGAGGCUCUUUGAAGGCUCCACACUGAAGAGUGCUUUGGAUAUGUCUACAACCAAGCUGUGGAGUUAUGUGAGCCACCAGAACCUAUGAGAAACAAACGCAGAUGGUGUGGAAACAUGAAAAAUAUUUUAUGAAGUUGGUCACUCACUUUGCGGAUUAUAAAAACCUUGCCUUCAUGGUGCUUCUGGAUUACAAACCGUUCCAUUCUCAUCUCGUCUUCCGUGCCACGGAGUUUCAGGCCCUGCUGAGCACAUUCCCUGUUUUUGAGGAUGUGAAGGUGGUAUGGGAAUCCAAAGACCUCAGAAGAUAACCCCGAGGGCUGCUGACAUUUAUGAUGGAAACACGAGUACAGAAGUGACCAGACUCCUUCAGCCCUGUGUGACCCUCCCAGUAACAACGUCUGAGGAAGCACUCACAUGCUUAGAAAGGAUCAAAGCCUGUCUGAGGAAUGUAGGCCAGGUUCAAGAAGGACUGCUGCCCUCCUUGGCAAAGAUUUUGAUUGCGAAGGACCUGGUGCAACAGCUACGUGAUACCGGGGACCUUUAUACAUGUGUGACAGAAAAGUUUGCUGCAUUGGGAGACCACAAUGUCGAUGUAGUGUUUAAAUAAGAAAGCAGACUCGACCAGUUAAGCAGAAGACCUUGUAUUUUUGGAUGAUGGACAGGUUUUAUGACAGAUUUUGAUUUUAAUUUGUAGGCACGAUAUUUGAUUGAAAACCAGGAACGGCUGUUUUAUUCUGUUUGCUUACACCAAGCAUUAUCUCCCAAUACGGUAUAAUGUUGUUGCUGCUGUAUUUCAGGGUCCUUGUAAACCUCCGUCACAAAGCAGAUAACAACUGAAGAGGACUGACCUUGCCCUGCUUUCUGUUUGUAUUGUUCCAACAAUCCUCUUGCUGAUUUAUAUUGCUUUGUCUCGUACUGUACACCUGAGAACCUGGAGUGUGGAUUUUAUAAAGUCCGGGUGGUGCUGUACAGUACAACACCCCACAUAUAUCUGGAGACUAAAGUUUUGGUUUGUGUUGGGUUUGAGUAGACAUGAGGAUGUAGUGCGAUUAUUUUUAUUUACACCCAAAAAAAAGAACACCAGAGGGCGCCAUCUGACUAAUAUUAUUUGCAAUGCAAAUUUAAAGCACCACUGGUCAAUAACUUCCUGUUUUUUGCUGGAUCUCCAUUUUAAAAGCUUUAACUUUGCCUCUACUGCAGUAAUAAUCCCACUGCUCUUAAGUAUUAAAUAACGUUUGUUUAAAAACGUAUGUGGUACGGUAUACUUCAUUACUAUUUUUUAUGUUUGCAGAUAGGAUUUAUGAACUAGUGCAAUGCAAAUUGUGGGAUACUGUUUAUUUUGAUGGGAAAAAAGCUGGUGCUGUAAUAUGGAGGAAAAUACAGGAGUGAAGUUUAGCAUGCUUUGGUGACAUUCUCUAAUAACGCACAACCUUUUGUUGUUUUAUAAGAAGUGUUUUGGAAUGUUUUAUCUUUGUCUGAAGACACUAUACAUACAGUUCAAUGUCUACUAAACAGACUAAUGGAUGGUGUAAGUAAAUUAAACAAAUACAAAAAAAUACCUGUUUUAUUGGGACCAGGUUCACUGACAGUGACUUCCAGAUAACACCUCUGUACUGUAUCGAGAAAUGAUUUAUAGUAGUCUGAAUAAUGCUUUUCCUUAAAGAGAGGUGUACCUGAUAAAGGGAAGUGUAUUCACAAGAACUGUUAAUUACAUGUGUUAAUGGAAAACUACUGUUUUUAACAUUGAUCCCCGCUGUUCCACUGAAUGACAGUGUAUUUCAAAAAUACAAUAUCUUGUGUACUCCAAGUGCUUUGCUGCAGGACACUGUUUUGAAAGCACUGACUUGCAGCAGCACUGCAAGAAAUUCCUUAGCAGGUGAUAUGGUAGUUUAUCCGCUUGUGAAAAGAUAUAGGUUAAUUUCUGAUUUCUGCAGCUUAAGUAGUUCAUGAUAUAUUACAUGUCAUUGUAAGAGUUAAAUACACAAGUGAGAAUUAUAGCUCUUCUACUGUAUUUUAUUUAAAACCUGGAUAUCCAGCCUAACCCAAAAACCUGGAACACCUUUUCACGUGGUUUAAGAAUGGAAUUUGAUAACCUCUCAUUUUUUGGUUAUAAAGAGCGUAUUGGGGAUUUUCUUAAAACCCCUUGCUAUUGCUUUUCUUUUAUUCCACAUUGAAAAAAAAAACAAAAAACCCUGCUGUAUUACUGCUCCUUUGUUCAUUUGUCGUUACUGUCUAAGGCUGGACCACACAAAUAUUAAUUGUGUUGUUUUAUGUAUGAUUGUGUCUGUGUCAGGACCCCCUUGUAAAUGAGGCCUGUGCCUCAAUGGGUUAAUUUCCUGUAUAAAUAAAUAAAUAAAUAAAAAUAUUCAAAGAAUGAAUAAAAACAGUUUGAUUUUCACAAA